UGCGUAGGCGGCUUCUUAAGUCUGGUGUGAAAGCCCAGGGCUCAGCUCUGGAAGUGCACUAGAAACUGGGGAGCUUGAGUACCGGAGGGGAGAGUGGAAUUCCUGGUGUAGCGGUGAAAUGCGUAGAUAUCAGGAGGAAUACCGGUGGCGAAAGCGACUCUCUGGACGGUUACUGACGCUGAGGCACGAAAGCGUGGGGAGCAAACA
rnacentral:rRNA from 1 species